CAGGUCUCCCCCACUGCAGGCAGAUUCUUUACCAGAUGAGCCCCUAGCGCUCUAACAGCUAUCUACACACAGAGUAAUCCCAUCGCUCCUCUGAAAUGCCUUGGGAGUGAAGAGCGAGCCUCCCGCCCCAGAGCCCCCUUGCUGCCCGCCCUUCCCCGGCGGGGAGGGGAGGGUGUUUGCAUGGCCGGCUCCCCGGUGGGGCUACACUCACCAGAGCCCUCAGGGCGCGGCUCUAACGCCCGGGCUACCCCGUCCCCACCUCCCUGGUGUAACUCGCACCUGAGCUCCAGCAGCCCGUCUCCCGGUCUCUCCGCGCGCCACCGGGGCGAGAGGCCCACCGCGCAGUCCGCGCGCACAGAGGCUUCGAAGACGCGGGGCGGCCGGGGUCGCUGAGGAAGUGGCGGCGUCCCCGGCGCGCGGGAAGCCGCCGAAACCGACCUGCCCACAAGCACGGAGUGGAACCACAGGCACACCCGCCAUCUCGCACGCGGUUGUGCAGCUCCAGAGCAGCGGCCCCGGGAGACGCCCGCCCGCCCCCGCCCUCACGGCGCCCCGCCUCAGGCAGCCUUCCCUCGGCCGCGCGGGGCAGCUCCCGGGCCGGCUCCACGGGCUUCUCGCAGAACACGGCGCGGGCGCCAGGCGGAGAGCUUAGGCCGGGCCCUCUGCGAGGGUCGGCGGCGCGCAGGGGGCGUGUGAGCGGCCAGCACCCGCCCGUGCCUGGGGGCGGGGUUGUGUGGGCGGCGAGCCGGGCGGGCGCCUGCGCGGGGGGCGUGCGGCCGGGGAGCGGGGCUGGCGUCGGGGGUUGUGAGAGCUGGAGCGCCGCUCGGCGCACUGGGAGUAUCUCUGAGAGCCUUCCACAGAAGUAUGUGGAUCAUUUAUCUGGAGCUGCUGGUCAAAGAGGAAAAGAAGACAUUAAAUGGACAAGUAGAAGGAUGGUGUCAGCUAGGCCAAAACAAAAGAACUGGAAGGAAGGAGAGAGCAGGGGCCACGAUGGGGAGAUCAAGGAACCGACAGCCUGCUACAGUGUCCACUGGAAGUUUCCAGCUUCUAAUGCAGUUUCAGUUUGGAGGGAAGUGUCUCCAAAGUGAGGGUAGAGUGAAGGUAUGUUGCUGCUGCUGCUAAGUCGCAUCAGUCAUGUCUGACUCUGGGCGACCCCAUAAACGGCAGCCCACCAGGCUUCUCCAUCCAUGGGGUUUCCCAGGCAAGAGUACUGGAGUGGGUUGCCAUUGCCUUCUCCUGAGGGUAAGUUGAGGCUAAGAUUUUAGAAGAAUAAAUUAAGUUGAGGUCAUGUAGAAGCA
rnacentral:lncRNA from 1 species